rnacentral:rRNA from 1 species
AUUGAACGCUGGCGGCAUGCCUUACACAUGCAAGUCGAACGGUAACGCGGGGCAACCUGGCGACGAGUGGCGAACGGGUGAGUAAAGCAUCGGAACGUGCCCAGUAGUGGGGGAUAGCCCGGCGAAAGCCGGAUUAAUACCGCAUACGACCUACGGGUGAAAGGGGGGGAUCGCAAGACCUCUCGCUAUUGGAGCGGCCGAUGUCAGAUUAGGUAGUUGGUGGGGUAAAGGCCUACCAAGCCGACGAUCUGUAGCUGGUCUGAGAGGACGACCAGCCACACUGGGACUGAGACACGGCCCAGACUCCUACGGGAGGCAGCAGUGGGGAAUUUUGGACAAUGGGCGCAAGCCUGAUCCAGCCAUGCCGCGUGCGGGAAGAAGGCCU